GCAGCGUGUUUAUAUUAACCCCUUCAGGAAGGAGUCAAUAGUACACAAAACAAAAUGUAAACUAAACCUGGAAUUUGUGCUACAUGUCUUCAACCGUAAUACACCUCUUUCAUAUUAACCCCUUAAGGACACAGCUUCAGAAGCUUGACUUACGCUUAAUGACAAGCAAUUUUUGCAUUUUCUGGCUGUUUGCGUUCAACUGCAAUUUGCAUCUCUCUCAUUUAUUG